GUUUUAAUAGUUUAAGAUAAAACAUUGGUCUUGUAAACCAAAAAUAUUUACUAAUUUAAAACU
rnacentral:tRNA from 1 species